CUCGUAGGUGGCCAACUAAGUCAGACGUGAAAUCCCCAGACUCAACCUGGGAACUGCGUCUGAUACUGGAUGGCUUGAAUUCGGGAGAGGGAUGCAGAAUUCCAGGUGUAGCGGUGAAAUGCGUAGAUAUCUGGAGGAAUACCGGUGGCGAAGGCGGCAUCCUGGACCGAGAUUGACACUGAUGAGCGAAAGCUAGGGGAGCAAACG
rnacentral:rRNA from 1 species